UACAGGAGGUCUCAAGCAGUUGUUCGGAUUCAUUGGGCGUAAAAGGGUGUGUAGGUGGGCGCUGACUAAGUCGGGGUGUGAAAAUUUCCGGGAGCUUAACUCCGAAACUGCAUUCGAUACUGGCGAUGCUUGAGGACUGGAGAGGAGGAUGGAAUUUACGGUGUAGCAGUGAAAUGCGUAGAUAUCGUAAGGAAGACCAUGGCGAAGG
rnacentral:rRNA from 1 species